AUCCUGUCCUACUAAGCAAGGCUUCAAACGUUCCCGUGAUAUCUGGCAUCAAGGUGACUAGCAGCCUUGAAGCAGCUGAGGUCUUGGAUAUUGGUAGAAGUCUGGUUUCCGACUGCAGCUGGCAAUAGCGACCUGUCAUCUUCAGAACCGGGUCCUGGCCGGGUGCAGGGUCCCUGUGGGCCCACAUUCCCCUCUUUCACGAGAGCUUCACAGACGCGCACGCGCAGUUUGCUCUCCUGCACGAGGCUCACAGAGCGUUAGUUUCUCCAGCAACUCCGGCGUCUCAGGUGUCUCUUCUGACAAAUAUUACAGCGGGCAGGUGGCAUUAACCAGUGGGGGCAAGAUUUUCAGGUUCCCUCCAAAUCUGCCUACAGGGGGAAUAGGAUCUGUUGAUUAUUUCCGUCCUUAGAAUUAGUCAGCAUCUUCCGAUCCUCAGAAGCCCGCCACACAGAUCCUGCCUCUCAAGACUUUCGAACUCUUCCAGAUCCUUGGUUGCCCUGAACUGCACAGCAAGUGCCUGCUCAGUACCAGUACGCAAGGAUUCAGCGGCUUUGGGUAUUUGGACACCCUCACGGCUGUGGGGGCCAUGGACUGACCUAAGCACCUGCAUAUUCUCCUGCGUGGAGGAGAACUCCUGCACUACAAUCUGAUCUUACUGGCAGUAAAGUCAUACUUGCAUGGGUCGGUGUGCCUCUUCUUGGGAAGUUUUGGUGACAGUGAUGGGACCCAAAGGAGACAUUUGAUGGCUUCAGGGACAAUGAGAAAUAUAUGACAUUGGUACCUGAAAACCUUUGAGUUCUCUUUCUUACGUUUCCAAGGAAGCAGGCUGGUCAUGCAAGUGAGAGAAGCAGAUUUGACAAGACAUUUGAGAGUUACGGAUGGACAGCAAAGGAACCAUGAGCUGAAGAACAUGUUUCUCCUCUAGAGACUCUAAACUUUACAAUUGAAUGCAAAGAAUGUAGGUCCAGUGUUGCUAGAACUUCUAAUUUUUGAAGAGACAAUUAUAUCUGGACCUUUAUACCCUAUUUUUUGUUUUUUUGUUUUUAAUGUGGGCAGCUAGUAUUUUAAGACAAGGCAAAACCAAUGUGGGUGCAUUCAAAGUACUUCUUACCAAAUAAAGCCUGUCUACCAGCCA